GAUGAACGCUGGCGGCGUGCCUAAUACAUGCAAGUCGAGCGAAUGGAUUAAGAGCUUGCUCUUAUGAAGUUAGCGGCGGACGGGUGAGUAACACGUGGGUAACCUGCCCAUAAGACUGGGAUAACUCCGGGAAACCGGGGCUAAUACCGGAUAACAUUUUGAACCGCAUGGUUCGAAAUUGAAAGGCGGCUUCGGCUGUCACUUAUGGAUGGACCCGCGUCGCAUUAGCUAGUUGGUGAGGUAACGGCUCACCAAGGCAACGAUGCGUAGCCGACCUGAGAGGGGGAUCGGCCACACGGGGACUGAGAAACGGCCCAGACUCCUACGGGAGGUAGCAGUAGGGAAUCUUCCGAAAUGGACGAAAGUCUGACGGAGCAACGCCGCGUGAGUGAUGAAGGCUUUCGGGUCGUAAAACUCUGUUGUUAGGGAAGAACAAGUGCUAGUUGAAUAAGCUGGCACCUUGACGGUACCUAACCAGAAAGCCACGGCUAACUACGUGCCAGCCGCCGCCGUAA
rnacentral:rRNA from 1 species